rnacentral:rRNA from 1 species
GAUAAACGCUUGCGGCGUGCCUAAUACAUGCAAGUCGAACGGAGGUUUUGUAGCAAUACGGAAUCUUAGUGGCGAAUGGGUGAGUAACGCGUUGGUGACCUGCCCCGAAGUGAGGGAUAACAGUUCGAAAGGACUGCUAAUACCACAUGUGGUCAGCGGCUCUAGAAACCACUGCCUAAAGCAGUAAUGCGCUUCGGGAGGGGCCUGCGUCCCAUCAGCUAGUUGGUAGGGUAAUGGCCUACCAAGGCGACGACGGGUAGGGGGCCUGAGAGGGUGGCCCCCCACAUUGUCACUGAAACACGGGCCAAACACCUACGGGUGGCAGCAGUAGGGAAUAUUGCACAAUGGGCGAAAGCCUGAUGCAGCAACGCCGCGUGCGCGAUGAAGGUGUGUAAACUCCUUUUAUUAGGGAAGAUAAUGACGGUACCUAAUGAAUAAGCACCGGCUAACUCCGUGCCAGCCGCCGCAGUAAGAC